AUUGAACGCUGGCGGCAGGCCUAACACAUGCAAGUCGAACGAGUGGCGGACGGGUGAGUAAUGUCUGGGAAACUGCCAGAUGGAGGGGGAUAAAUACUGGAAACGGUAGCUCAUACCGCAUACCCUCGGAUGUGCCCAGAUGGGAUUAGCUAGUAGGUGGGGUAAAGGCUCACAUAGGCGACGAUCCCUAGCUGGUCUGAGAGGAUGACAAGCCACACUGGACAUGAGACACGGUCCAGACUCCUACGGGAGGCAGCAGUGGGGAAUAUUGCACAAUGGGCGCAAGCCUGAUGCAGCCAUGCCGCGUGUAUGAAGAAGGCCUUCGUGUUGUAAAGUACUUUCGGCGGGGAGGCGUUACCCGCAGAAGAAGCACCGGCUAACUCCGUGCCAGCAGCCGCGGUAAUUC
rnacentral:rRNA from 1 species